AUACGUAGGGUGCGAGCGUUAUCCGGAUUUAUUGGGUUUAAAGGGUGCGUAGGCUGUGCGUUAAGUCAGGGGUGAAAUGCCGUCGCUCAACGACGGAGCUGCCCUUGAUACUGGCGUGCUGGAGUACGGAUGCCGUUGGAGGAAUGAGUGGUGUAGCGGUGAAAUGCUUAGAUAUCACUCAGAACACCGAUUGCGAAGGCAUCUGACGAAUCCGUCACUGACGCUGAGGCACGAAAGCGUGGGGAUAGAACAGGAUUAGAUACCCUGGUAUUCCACGCCGUAAACGAUGAUGACUAACCGUCGGCGAUAGACAGCCGGUGGCCAAGCGAAAGCGAUAAGUCAUCCACCUGGGGAGUACGACCGCAAGGUUGAAACUCAAAGGAAUUGACGGGG
rnacentral:rRNA from 1 species